GGAGAAUAUUUGACAAUGGGCGAAAGCUUGAUCGAGUAAUGUUACGUGGGUGAUCAGAAGGCUUAAUUGCUGUAAAACUCGUUUCGUCAAGGAUUAUAAUGCAAUCGUACUUGAAGGAGAAGCCCUGACUAACUUCGUGCCAGCAGUCGCGGUAAUACGGAGAGGGCAAGUGUUAUUCGCAUUGACUGGGUGUAAAGGGUGCGUAGGUGGCUUGUUAAGUUUCAAAGUAAAGGUUAAACUCAAAGUUUAAAGGCUUUUUAAUACUAAUAGGCUAGAGUUUACUAGAAGAUAGCUGAACAUUAAGUGUAAAGGUGAAAUUUUUCGAUAUUUAAAGGACAUGCAAUAGGCGAAGGCUGCUAUCUAUUUUAAUACUGACACUGAGGCACAAAAGCAUAGGGAUCA
rnacentral:rRNA from 2 species